rnacentral:rRNA from 1 species
CCGGCGCACGGGUGAGUAACACGUAUCCAACCUGCCGUCUACUCUUGGCCAGCCUUCUGGAAGGAAGAUUAAUCCAGGAUGGAAUCAUGAGUUCACAUGUCCGCAUGAUUAAAGGUAUUUUCCGGUAGACGAUGGGGAUGCGUUCCAUUAGAUAGUAGGCGGGGUAACGGCCCACCUAGUCAACGAUGGAUAGGGGUUCUGAGAGGAAGGUCCCCCACAUUGGAACUGAGACACGGUCCAA